GAUGAACGCUGGCGGCGUGCCUAAUACAUGCAAGUCGAGCGAAUGGAUUAAGAGCUUGCUCUUAUGAAGUUAGCGGCGGACGGGUGAGUAACACGUGGGUAACCUGCCCAUAAGACUGGGAUAACUCCGGGAAGCCGGGGCUAAUACCGGAUAAUAUUUUGAACUGCAUGGUUCAAAAUUGAAAGGCGGCUUCGGCUGUCACUUAUGGAUGGACCCGCGUCGCAUUAGCUAGUUGGUGAGGUAACGGCUCACCAAGGCAACGAUGCGUAGCCGACCUGAGAGGGUGAUCGGCCACACUGGGACUGAAACACGGCCCAGACUCCUACGGGAGGCAGCAGUAGGGAAUCUUCCGCAAUGGACGAAAGUCUGACGGAGCAACGCCGCGUGAGUGAUGAAGGCUUUCGGGUCGUAAAACUCUGUUGUUAGGGAAGAACAAGUGCUAGUUGAAUAAGCUGGCACCUUGACGGUACCUAACCAGAAAGCCACGGCUAACUACGUGCCAGCAGCCGCCGUAA
rnacentral:rRNA from 1 species